rnacentral:piRNA from 1 species
UAUGAUGUGACGUACUUUCCUGCAGGAGG